rnacentral:rRNA from 1 species
AAGGAAUUGACGGGGACCCGCACAAGCGGUGGAUGAUGUGGAUUAAUUCGAUGCAACGCGAAAAACCUUACCUACCCUUGACAUGGAUGGAAUCCCGAAGAGAUUUGGGAGUGCUCGAAAGAGAACCAUCACACAGGUGCUGCAUGGCUGUCGUCAGCUCGUGUCGUGAGAUGUUGGGUUAAGUCCCGCAACGAGCGCAACCCUUGUCAUUAGUUGCUACGAAAGGGCACUCUAAUGAGACUGCCGGUGACAAACCGGAGGAAGGUGGGGAUGACGUCAAGUCCUCAUGGCCCUUAUGGGUAGGGCUUCACACGUCAUACAAUGGUACAUACAGAGGGCCGCCAACCCGCGAGGGGGAGCUAAUCCCAGAAAGUGUAUCGUAGUCCGGAUUGGAGUCUGCAACUCGACUCCAUGAAGUUGGAAUCGCUAGUAAUCGCGGAUCAGCAUGUCGCGGUGAAUACGUUCCCGGGUCUUGUACACACCGCCCGUCACACCAUGGGAGCGGGUUUUACCAGAAGUGGGUAGCCUAACCGCAAGGAGGGCGCUCACCACGGUAGGAUUCGUGACUGGGGUGAAGUCGUAACAAGGUAACCAAGGG